CAGUAGCCGCGGUAAUACGAAGGGGGCUAGCGUUGUUCGGAAUCACUGGGCGUAAAGGGUGCGUAGGCGGAUUCUUAAGUCAGGGGUGAAAUCCCGAGGCUCAACCUCGGAACUGCCUUUGAUACUGGGGAUCUUGAGUGCAGAAGAGGAGAGUGGAAUUCCACGUGUAGCGGUGAAAUGCGUAGAGAUGUGGAGGAACACCAGUGGCGAAGGCGACUCUCUGGUCUGUAGCUGACGCUGAGGAGCGAAAGCGUGGGGAGCGAACAGGAUUAGAUACCCCGGUAGUCCCUGUCUCUUAUAC
rnacentral:rRNA from 1 species